GAGGUUGACUUUGCUUUUCAUCCUUUCAAAGUCGAUAAAAUAAGUACCAGUUAUACACUGGGGGGGUCGAUGUAAUUGACUAGCCCUCUUCCCCUGAAAUUACUGGCCUUGUGCCAAAAUGUGAAAUCGGGUUUUAUAAAUUUUCCUUACGACAGGAACAACAUAGUGUUUUCGAAAAGGACCUUGUUUUCCCUAACCCUAACCCUUACCCUAACCCCUUCACCCUAAACCCUAACCCUCCUCCCAUACACACCACUACAAUAACAAAGACUAAAAACCAAAAAAAAAAAAAAGCUAUGCCAAAAACAAACAAGCAAAAAUAUAAAUAAACAAACAAACUUUGCAUCUACUGAGUGAUUUGAAGGUCCAUUGGUGCGGGGCACGAGCCUAUAUCUUUUGGAUUGUCUUACCAAAUAAAGCCUCCUUUCAAAUCCUACCCACCCACCCACCCACCCCACUAACCAACCAACCAACCAACCUGCUUUUGACCUCCUCCCAAUGUGCAGAAACAUUUCCAACUGAUCAUCCUGAUGAUGAUGAUGAUGAUGAUAACGACAAUGGCAGUGAUGAUGAUGAUGAUGACGAUGAUGAUGAUAUCGGAAGCGCGUCGUAUAGGGAAA